rnacentral:siRNA from 1 species
AUGUUUUCCAAUUAUGUCUUGG